rnacentral:rRNA from 1 species
GUCCACGCCGUAAACGAUGGAUACUAGCUGUUCGGUAGCAAUACUGAGUGGCUAAGCGAAAGUGAUAAGUAUCCCACCUGGGGAGUACGAACGCAAGUUUGAAACUCAAAAGGAAUUGACGGGGGCCCGCACAAGCGGUGGAGCAUGUGGUUUAAUUCGAUGAUACGCGAGGAACCUUACCAGGGCUUAAAAUGUAGGUUGACAGGCUUGGAAACAGGUUUUUCUCGGACAACUUACAAGGUGCUGCAUGGUUGUCGU